ensembl:lncRNA
ACCAAAGCCAAGGGAAAGUUGUCAAGCAUUACCAACUUACCUAUUUAUGUGGACAAGCAGAAGACAAAGUGAUUUUUACCAAUAAAGCCACCUCUAAUUGAAUAAAGAUUUGAUGCAUUGCUGUUGGACAUUAGAAUCAAAGCAAUAACAUCUUUCUGCGUGGAUGAAAACUAGUGACACUCCAUCAGAAAUGUUACAUAGUGCAACUUUAAAACACUGAUUAAUACUUUGUUCUACUCUUAGGUUUAUUUGAUGGUGACGAUUUACUUAGUGAUUUACUGGAUGAUAAUAAACAACCAGCCAAAAUGAACUCAAAUCGCAGUUUACCCUCAAAUCGCUCGUCUGCGCCUGAUAACAUAUUUAGUAUGCUUGCAGGGGAGGUAAAGCAGGAUGGUGCGGACAGUGAGAAUUCCGAAGAUGUUUCUGAAGCAGAUCCUAAUGAAAUCCUGAAAGACAUGAAGGACAUUGAUGACAUGGAUGCUGAUCUGUUUGUGCUAAAGAAAAAGCCAAGUUCUGCUCCUGCAAAGUCACCUGGUAAAGAUGGUAAAGACAGGACAAAGAAAAGUGCCACUACACUAGAAGACAAUGGCAAACCAGAGGGAGAAGAUGCAUCCUCCAUCGAUCAGAAAAAGCCAAACUCUGCACCAUCUUCUGGUCGAAACUAUAAAAACUUUACCUUUUCUGAUGAAGAUCACCUGUUUGACGACUUUCCUCCUGAAGAACCAAAACUGAAACCCACGGCUACGGAAAAGUCUGUGCCAACUUCUCCUGUCUCGCCAAUCCUCAAAAGUAA